UACGGAGGAUGCAAGCGUCAUCCGGAAUGAUUGGGCGUAAAGCGUCCGCAGGUGGCAAUGUAAGUCUGCUGUCAAAGCGUCUGGCUCAACCAGAUAAAGGCAGUGGAAACUACAUAGCUAGAGUAAGGUAGGGGUAGAGGGAAUUCCUGGUGUAGCGGUGAAAUGCGUAGAGAUCAGGAAGAACACCGGUGGCGAAAGCGCUCUGCUGGACCUUAACUGACACUGAGGGACGAAAGCUAGGGGAGCGAAUGGG
rnacentral:rRNA from 1 species